AGCCUGCCCAGUGAUAAAUUCAACGGCCGCGGUAACCUAACCGUGCGAAGGUAGCAUAAUCACUUGUUCCCUAAAUAGGGACUUGAAUCAACGGCACCACGAGGGUUACACUGUCUCCUUUCCCUAAUCAGUGAAACUGAUCUUCCCGUGAAGAAGCGGGAAUAAAACCAUAAGACGAGAAGACCCCAUGGAGCUUCAAACUAAACGGCACCUCAACUUCCCACCCCCCUGCAUAAUAGAGCAAUGCCUAAAAGUUUUGGGUUGGGGCGACCGCGGAGUAUAAAAUAACCUCCACAACGAAAAGAACUAAACCUUUAUCCAAGAGAUACCUCUCAAAGAAUUAGAACCCUAACGCACAGUGACCCGAUACGAUCAAUGAACCAAGUUACCCUGGGGAUAACAGCGCAAUCUACUCCAAGAGCCCCUAUCGACGAGUAGGCUUACGACCUCGAUGUUGGAUCAGGGUAACCUGGCGGUGCAGCCGCUGCACAUGGUUCGUUUGUUCAACGAUUA
rnacentral:rRNA from 1 species